rnacentral:rRNA from 1 species
UACGUAGGGGGCUAGCGUUGUCCGGAAUCAUUGGGCGUAAAGCGCGUGUAGGCGGUUCGGUAAGUCCGCUGUGAAAGUCGGGGGCUCAACCCUCGAAAGCCGGUGGAUACUGUCGGACUAGAGUACGGAAGAGGCGAGUGGAAUUCCUGGUGUAGCGGUGAAAUGCGCAGAUAUCAGGAGGAACACCAAUUGCGAAGGCAGCUCUCUGGGACGGUACUGACACUGAGACGCGAAAGCGUGGGGAGCGAACAGG